rnacentral:antisense_RNA from 1 species
AAAGGCAACAGCAAAUCACAAACAUCCAUAAUUAUACAUCAGGGACUAAUAAAUGGAGAUUGUGCCCUGUGGUUGUUGGUGUGACAGAUGCAGGCUGGGUGCUCUUUCUGGACUGAGUUUCUGCCUGUCACAAUGCCCCACACCCUGGAGAAAGAGCUUACAGAGCACUCGAGCCAUUCACCACAGGGUUGAAGCAACUUCCAAGGGGGAAGUGUCUAAUUAGAGGCACUGAAUUCUCUUCAUUACAUGUUCAGUUCUGAAGCUGCUGACUUUUAGUGAAUUAUGUGGAUGCCAAAUGACUUCUAAAAGUCUUUGGGAGAUACUAUCAGAUGAAUUAAUAAUUUUCACUCAUAAUGUUACAUGGGAAGUCCGUGAAUUCAGAUAUUCUUUCAGGAGAAGCACCACCUGCUUCAUGAGUAAUUGAAUUUAAAUCUCCACCUUCAAUAACUCCACAGCUUAUGUCAAACCUUGGAAACAAUUACGAAAUAAAUCACAAGGAAGGCCUGCUUAAUCUCAUCAGGUUAAUAAACGCAGACGAAUUAAUCACCUAAA